GGACUGGGCAGCAGAUAAAGGCAUUCUGGCACCACCGAAAAGCUUGCACUCCUCGUCUCAACUAUCACCGUCUGGGGUUCAAGCUGAAGGCUGUCACCAGUGCCAACCAGACGCCCCUUCAAAGUUCAUCUGUUUUUGUUGACGGAACAGUGACACCUGGUAAACCUGUCACGCAGAUGCCCUACCCCUUGGUAUGCAUAGUUCAAGAUUGUACCGAAACAAUCCACCUGGAGCAUUAUUCUUCAAUUGGCAUUACUAUCAC